CAAAAUAUGGCACAGCACACACAAAAAAAACAAUAGUAACACAGUUAAUUAACACUACAAUUCCCACAAUUAUGAAGUGAAACAAUAUUUCCAAUGUUCUUUUUUUCUACCAAGAUUACUCAAAAAUCUACUUUUGUCUCUGAGCAAAGAAUUUGCUUCAGACAUCAGUUGUCAUAGCAACACCACACUGCUCCUGUGAUCCUGUCAGCAUGGCAAUACCCCUUGCACAAAGCGAGCUCCAUGAGGACAUACUUUGUCAAGGAUAGAGUGGAAGAACUCGAGUGGUCUGCAAAAAGCCCGGACCUCAACCUCACUGAACAACCUUAGGAUGAACUGGAACACCCGACUGCACCCGAUAUCUUUUGUGAGACCUGAACAGUAGGUGCAGAAAAUGUUGUCAUCAGUGUACCAGUGGUAAAAGAAGCCAUGUGAUCUGAUGAGUACAGUAACUCAAUAAGCACUUCAAUCAUCUAAUAUCACAGAGAUUUUCCUUUUUAAUUUUUUAUUUAUGAUUAAAGAAUUUUUUGUAGUUAUAUUUGGGUCCUGUUAGGACUCGAGUUAUAGCAGCACCAGUCU